UGAGGGAUAUUGGUCAAUGGGCGCAAGCCUGAACCAGCCAUGCCGCGUGCAGGAUGAAGCAUCUAUGGUGUGUAAACUGCUUUUGUACGGGAAGAAACCACCCCUCGUGAGGAGUAUUGACGGUACCGUAAGAAUAAGGAUCGGCUAACUCCGUGCCAGCAGCCGCGGUAAUACGGAGGAUCCAAGCGUUAUCCGGAAUCAUUGGGUUUAAAGGGUCCGUAGGCGGUUUAGUAAGUCAGUGGUGAAAGCCCAUCGCUCAACGAUGGAACGGCCAUUGAUACUGUUAGACUUGAAUUACAAGGAAGUAACUAGAAUAUGUAGUGUAGCGGUGAAAUGCUUAGAUAUUACAUGGAAUACCAAUUGCGAAGGCAGGUUACUACUUGUGGAUUGACGCUGAUGGACGAAAGCGUGGGGAGCGAACA
rnacentral:rRNA from 1 species